CUCACGCCCUACCUGGCCACACCUGGGUGUGGUUAAUUAACCACUCCCCUUUGGAAGUGGGUUAAAAGACUAGGACACAGUGUGUCCCAGCCCUUCUCUCUUCUCUGGCCUCUUGCCAGAAGGGGGCUUGCUGUAGCCCUGCACCUCCAGGGCACGUGGCCUUCAGGCCACCCGCCCUAGGCUUCCUGGCCUAGAUGCUCCUCCACGUGGCUGGUUCCUGGCACUAGACAAACAGACCGCAUUCAAGCUUGAAGGCAGAUGCUUCAUUCUCCUCUCCACAAUCAAGUCCCUGAGCAACAUCCUCCACGCUGGGCAAGAAGUUGGCAAGUGUGUUCCUAGCAGCCUUACCACAGUGGUCCAAAGGUGGAAGCAGCCCGGGGCCUGUGGACAGGUGAGUAGAAAAGCAUUUACAUACAAACAUGUACAUCUGUGUAUGCAACAUUGAAAAGCCUUCAACAGGAAGGAAAUUCUGACACACACUGCAAUGUGGACGACCCGUAAGACAUUACGCUAAGCAAGGUGAGCAAGUCAC
rnacentral:lncRNA from 1 species